GAUGAACGCUAGCUACAGGCUUAACACAUGCAAGUCGAGGGGUAACGAGAGGAAAGCUUGCUUUCCUUGUCGACGACCGGCGCACGGGUGAGUAACGCGUAUCCAACCUGCCCCCAACUAAGGAAUAACCUUGCGAAAGUAAGACUAAUACCUUAUAAUUUCCUCAGAUGACAUCUGACGAGGAAUAAAGAUUUAUCGGUUGUGGAUGGGGAUGCGUCUGAUUAGCUUGUUGGCGGGGUAACGGCCCACCAAGGCAACGAUCAGUAGGGGUUCUGAGAGGAAGGUCCCCCACAUUGGAACUGAGACACGGUCCAAACUCCUACGGGAGGCAGCAGUGAGGAAUAUUGGUCAAUGGGCGGAAGCAUGAACCAGCCAAGUAGCGUGCAGGAUGGCGGCCCUAUGGGUUGUAAACUGCUUUUAUACAGGAAUAAAGUUAGCCACGUGUGGUUAUUUGUAGGUACUGUAUGAAUAAGGACCGGCUAAUUCCGUGCCAGCCGCCGCAGUAA
rnacentral:rRNA from 1 species